rnacentral:miRNA from 1 species
ACUGCAUAGGCGUAGCGGGU